rnacentral:rRNA from 1 species
GACGAAGGAUGCAAGCGUUAUCCGGAUUCAUUGGGUUUAAAGGGUGCGUAGGCGGCCCUGUAAGUCAGUGGUGAAAGCCCGCAGCUUAACUGCGGAACUGCCAUUGAUACUGCAAGGCUUGAGUACAGAUGAUGUUGGCGGAAUAUGACAUGUAGCGGUGAAGUGCAUAGAUAUGUCAUAGAACACCGAUUGCGAAGGCAGCUGACAAAACUGUAACUGACGCUGAGGCACGAAAGUGUGGGGAUCAAACAGG